CAAAGCGCUCUCUCUCUAUGCUUGAGUCCUCUUGCAGACUACAGUGAUCUGCACAAGCCAAUUUUUUUCCUCUCUAUCUGGGAUCUGGCAAUGGCUCCAUGCAACUUAACUGCUCUCUCCACCAGCCUUUUCUCCAGGCUGUGUGUUGACCUGGCAAAUGCUUCUAGCUGUAAGGAGAUGAAAAGAAGUUUUGACUCCAGCAACAUCACCCUGUGAAGUGGCAGAACUCCAGAGUCGUCUAAUGAACCUCUGAAAUCCACCACUGCUUAACAGGGGGCCAAGAUUUCAAGACAUUAAAGCAGUCGUAGUAGAGCAGUCCUUCACUGCUUGCUGCACUCAGUGUCUAUGGAAAGUCACAGAACACCUUGAGGAGGAUUCUUUUAUAAAAGGCUUCUACCUGUGCACAGGCAGGAUUCAGCUGUCUCCUACAGCAAACUGUUCUGUUAUCAAGUCUAGUCCAUUGGUGAGAAAACUCACUAGAAGAGGCACAUAAAGACUGCACCUCUCUCCUCGUGUCCAGGGUUCUGUAAGUCUCUAUCCAACUAAGAAAUCACACCCAAGUUCAUUCUGUUCAUCAAAGUGCUGUCUUUUGAUCUGUGUUGUUAAAUGCUAUCGUAUUAGUCUUUCCCUUCCAAACAGGUAUAAAGGUGAGGAAGUGGGAUGGAAAUGCUGUAACAGCUUAGCCUACCCCCUUCAGGCUAAUGACCUGCAGAACACAGAACUCUGCUGCCCAUGAUUCUCCUCUUCUUUCCAGGUGGAUCACGGCCUUAUCCACUGCCACCUCUCAUAUCUAUUAUAAUGGGACCCUCAAUCUUAAUUACAACCACUGCUGAAGUCUGUCAAAGACACUGCUCCAACAAAAAGCAAUUCCAUCAGGCAUGGCAGGCUGAUAGCAGGCUUCCAAUCCUCUUUUAUCUGCUACCUGGUUUUCUACAUCCUCUGCAAG